AUGAACGCUGGCGGCGUGCCUAAUACAUGCAAGUCGAGCGAACGGACGAGAAGCUUGCUUCUCUGAUGUUAGCGGCGGACGGGUGAGUAACACGUGGAUAACCUACCUAUAAGACUGGGAUAACUUCGGGAAACCGGGCUAAUGCCGGAUAAUAUUUUGAACCGCAUGGUUCAAAAGUGAAAGACGGUCUUGCUGUCACUUAUAGGUGGAUCCGGGCUGCAUUUGCUAGUUGGUAAGGUAACGGCUUACCAAGGCAACGAUGCAUAGCCGACCUGAGAGGGUGAUCGGCCACACUGGAACUGAGACACGGUCCAGACUCCUACGGGAGGCAGCAGUAGGGAAUCUUCCGCAAUGGGCGAAAGCCUGACGGAGCAACGCCGCGUGAGUGAUGAAGGUCUUCGGAUCGUAAAACUCUGUUAUUAGGGAAGAACAUAUGUGUAAGUAACUGUGCACAUCUUGACGGUACCUAAUCAGAAAGCCACGGCUAACUACGUG
rnacentral:rRNA from 1 species